UGGGGAAUAUUGCACAAUGGGCGCAAGCCUGAUGCAGCCAUGCCGCGUGUAUGAAGAAGGCCUUCGGGUUGUAAAGUACUUUCAGUCGGGAGGAAGGUGGUAAGGUUAAUAACCUUGGCAAUUGACGUUACCGACAGAAGAAGCACCGGCUAACUCCGUGCCAGCAGCCGCGGUAAUACGGAGGGUGCAAGCGUUAAUCGGAAUUACUGGGCGUAAAGCGCACGCAGGCGGUUUGUUAAGUCAGAUGUGAAAUCCUCGGGCUCAACCUGGGAACUGCAUCUGAUACUGGCAAGCUUGAGUCUCGUAGAGGGGGGUAGAAUUCCAGGUGUAGCGGUGAAAUGCGUAGAGAUCUGGAGGAAUACCGGUGGCGAAGGCGGCCCCCUGGACAAAGACUGACGCUCAGGUGCGAAAGCGUGGGGAGCAAACAGG
rnacentral:rRNA from 1 species